AAGUGGUAGGAAGGCCGAAGGUGACGGACCCUUCGGGAGCUUGCACAGGUGCUGCAUGGCUGUCGUCAGCUCGUGUCGUGAGAUGUUCGGUUAAGUCCGCUAACGAGCGCAACCCUCGCUGUGUGUUAUAUGUGUCACACGGGACUGCCGGUCUUAAGCCGGAGGAAGGUGGGGAUGAUGUCAAGUCAGCAUGGCCUUUAUAUCCUGGGCUACACACACGCUACAAUGGCCAACACAAUAGGUUGCUAAGCCGCGAGGUGGCGCCAAUCCAUAAAGUUGGUCUCAGUUCAGAUUGUAGGCUGCAACCCGCCUGCAUGAAGAUGGAGUUGCUAGUAACCGCAGGUCAGCUAUACUGCGGUGAAUACGUUCCCGGGGCUU
rnacentral:rRNA from 1 species